rnacentral:rRNA from 2 species
UACGUAGGGUGCGAGCGUUAAUCGGAAUUACUGGGCGUAAAGCGUGCGCAGGCGGUUUUGUAAGCCAGAUGUGAAAGCCCCGGGCUUAACCUGGGAAUGGCAUUUGGGACUGCAAGGCUGGAGUGUGGCAGAGGAGACUGGAAUUCCUGGUGUAGCAGUGAAAUGCGUAGAUAUCAGGAGGAAUACCGAUGGCGAAGGCAGGUCUCUGGGCUGACACUGACGCUCAUGCACGAAAGCGUGGGGAGCAAACAGG